rnacentral:rRNA from 1 species
GACGAACGCUGGCGGCGUGCUUAGCACAUGCAAGUCGAACGGAAAGGCCCUGCUUUUGUGGGGUGCUCGAGUGGCGAACGGGUGAGUAACACGUGAGUAACCUGCCCUUGACUUUGGGAUAACUUCAGGAAACUGGGGCUAAUACCGGAUAGGAGCUCCUGCUGCAUGGGGGGGGUUGGAAAGUUUCGGCGGUUGGGGAUGGACUCGCGGCUUAUCAGCUUGUUGGUGGGGUAGUGGCUUACCAAGGCUUUGACGGGUAGCCGGCCUGAGAGGGUGACCGGCCACAUUGGGACUGAGAUACGGCCCAGACUCCUACGGGAGGCAGCAGUGGGGAAUAUUGCACAAUGGGCGGAAGCCUGAUGCAGCAACGCCGCGUGCGGGAUGACGGCCUUCGGGUUGUAAACCGCUUUCGCCUGUGACGAAGCGUGAGUGACGGUAAUGGGUAAAGAAGCACCGGCUAACUACGUG